CCCAGACUCCUACGGGAGGCAGCAGUAGGGAAUCUUCCACAAUGGGCGAAAGCCUGAUGGAGCAACGCCGCGUGGGUGAAGAAGGUCUUCGGAUCGUAAAACCCUGUUGUUAGAGAAGAAAGUGCGUGAGAGUAACUGUUCACGUUUCGACGGUAUCUAACCAGAAAGCCACGGCUAACUACGCGCCAGCAGCCGCGGUAAUACGUAGGUGGCAAGCGUUGUCCGGAUUUACUGGGUGUAAAGGGCGUGCAGCCGGGCUGACAAGUCAGAUGUGAAAUCCCGCGGCUCAACCGCGGAACUGCAUUUGAAACUGUCAGUCUUGAGUACCGGAGAGGUCAUCGGAAUUCCUUGUGUAGCGGUGAAAUGCGUAGAUAUAAGGAAGAACACCAGUGGCGAAGGCGGAUGACUGGACGGCAACUGACGGUGAGGCGCGAAAGCGUGGGGAGCAAACAGGAUUAGAUACCCUAGUAA
rnacentral:rRNA from 1 species